AAGAGUAAAAUAAUUCAUGGUUUUUGUUUUUUGUUUUUUUUAGUAAAGACACAGCAGAAGAAUUAAUAACCAUCAGCAACUUGGUUGCUAGUAACAUCUCCUGCAUGGUUCCAAAAUUAAGCUGUGGAAUCUUUCCCCCUCUAGCUUAGAUAAAGUUAUAUUCAUAUAUUUCCCAUGCUUUUGGUUUAGCUGUGGUUAGCAGAACUACUGCAAAUUGCACACAACCACCACAGCUGAAGGAGGGGAGGAUGCUGCUGUCAAUGACCCUCUCUUUCAUAGAGAUCAGAGAGAAAAGGGAAAUUAGGAUCGCUCCAAGGCAGAGCAGAGUGGACCAGGGAUCUCUUCUAAAAGAGGAGAUCCAGAGUCUGAGUGGCAAGAGAGGCUUACAUUCUGGUUCAUCACUACGUCCAAAGUACCAUGAAGAGGUGUGAGCCUGGGGUUGGAGAGGAUCUCUGGAAAGAAGAAACUUGUAAGAACAUAUCCUGAGAGAUUACAGUAAGGUCAUUGGCACAGCUACAUGUAAGAUUAUAUACUUUAUGUCCACAUGAUCUCCAGUUUAACAAUGGAAGAUGGUCUCAAGCCUUUCUUACCCCUUUGGAAUGGUUUUCUCUCAAGUUUCAUAGUAUUUUGUGUUAAAUUUCUGCAGUUGUCCUUUACCUCUCAGAUUUUGGCCAAUACCUGUUAGAUUUUUCUCUCCAGGGUAAUGCUAAGGUUUUAUUAAGAAUAUGACAGUCUAAUUAUACUGAGAGGUCUUCUGAACAUCCUUGAUUUGUGGCGUCUGAACUGCCUUGGAUUUGUGCACCGUUAAGCUGUACUGCUGAUCCUAAAAGCUGAUCUUUCAGCUUCAGUCUGAAACUGCCCUGCUUCUGAGCUCAGUCAUGUUGGAUCAGUCUGACAAAUAUUGGCUUCCACCCAUUUCUCUUUCCCUCUUUGUGGCUUUGUCCCCUGGUGGGAAAGAGUGCUAUGGUUUUACUGAGCUUUCCAUGUCAUGCUGAAUUCUUUUACAC